rnacentral:rRNA from 1 species
CGAUAUCGACGUAGUUGAUCAUGGCUCGAGGACGACGCUGGCGGCGUGCCUAACACAUGCAAGUCGAACGGGAUCCAUGGGAGCUUGCUCCCGGAAGAUCUAGUGGCGAACGGGUGAGUAACACGUGAGAAACCUGCCUCGGAGUCGGGGAUAACUCGGGGAAACCCGAGCUAAUACCGGAUACCUUCCUCGGACCGCAUGGUCCGUUGAAGAAAGAUUCAUCGCUCCGAGAUGGUCUCGCGGCCUAUCAGCUAGUUGGUGGGGUAACGGCCCACCAAGGCUACGACGGGUAGCUGGUUUGAGAGAAUGAUCAGCCACACUGGGACUGAGACACGGCCCAGACUCCUACGGGAGGCAGCAGUGGGGAAUCUUGCGCAAUGGGCGAAAGCCUGACGCAGCAACGCCGCGUGCGGGAAGAAGGCCUUUGGGUUGUAAACCGCUUUCAGCAGGGACGAAACUGACGGUACCUGCAGAAGAAGGUCCGGCUAACUACGUG